UUUUUUUUUUUUUUUUUUGAGAAGGAGUCUCACUCUGUCACCCAGGCUGGAAUGCAGUGGCUCAAUCUCGGCUCACUGCAACCUCUGCCUCCCGGGUUCUUCUGCCUCAGCCUCCCAAGUAGCUGGGACUACAGACGCGUGCCCCUACACCUGGCUAAUUUUUGUAUUUUUAGUAGAAAUGGGGUUUCACCAUAUUGGACAGGCUGGUCUCAAACUCCUGACCUUGUGAUCCGCCCCCUUGGCCUCCCAAAGUCCUGGGAUUACAGACAUGAGCCGCCACCGCACCCGGCCAAAUUUCCCCUUUUCAUAAGGACAGGAGUUAUAUUAGAUUAGGGCUGACCUUAAUGACCACAUUUUAACUUGAUUACCUCUGUAAAGACUAUCUCCAAAUAAGGCCAUAGUCUGAGGUACUGGGGUUUAAGCCUUCAACUUUUUUUUUGAGGCAGGGGCAGAGGGGACAGAAUUCUAUGCAUCCCCAGCCUCACCGCACCCAAAGCCAGCAUGCUGAGGCCUGCAAUCACCCCAGACAGCCCCAAAGGUUUGUAACUAAACAUGCUGACCUUCUCCCCUUGACUCUUGAUGUUUUGGAUUUGGUUAGCCAGAGGCUGGGGAAACAGAUCCAUUAAAUUCUGCGUAGCUUGAAAAACCUAGUAGUUAGGAUUAUAUUUGGCUGUGUGUGACAGAAAAUGUCAAAGUAAUAGAUGCUUUUUUAAAAAUUGACCCUUAUUUCUCCCUUUUACAAAAGAAGUCGGGAAUUAGGCAAUCCAGGGCUGGUAUGGCAGCCCAAGGCCAUCAGGGAAGGAGGCUCCAUGUAAUACGCUGACCCUCCAACCUUAGCAUGUCUCGUCCCUAAUGGCUUUUCAGCCUCCAGCCAGGUACCAGGUAGCAGGAAAGGGCCUUCUCAGAGGCCCCGCAUAUUACCUCUGCUGACAUCUCAUUGGCCAGAACAUAGUAAGGUGGCCACAUAAUCUUUUCUCUGGGUAGCUAUGUACCUAGCAAAAACUGGGGACUUGUUAUUAAGAAAAGACAAAAAGUUGGAGACCUACAGUGGUCUCCACUACACUGUAUAUGAAGGCAAGACAGUUAAUUUCUACCUAAAUUCCCAAAUGUAUCCUCAGGAAGAGAAUGUUUCUGAAGCAUGAAUUCUUUGUGCAUUGGAGGAUCUUCCCUUUCAACCUUCAAUUGCACUGUGGUUAUGUUCAGCUUUACAAGAGCUGCCCGCCCACCUGACUCUUGUUCACAAGACCCCUAAAAAUCAGAAAAAGAUCAGUCCAGGCUGUUCAGAGUUGGAUGGGGAAUCUUCCUGAGGACAGUUUUUAAAGAGUCCAUUUUGACACCAGCCAAGACAAAAGCCAGGACCCAGAGUCUAGACAGCUCCCAAGCCUGCCGUUUUCAACUUGGCCUUAGGAUGGAGUCUUCUGUUCUCUGGCAAUGAAUGACAGGCUUUUAAAGGAGUGACAAAGAGCAAGCCCUGGAGAGAGCCCCAUGAGGCCUUGGGGUAAGGGCUUCCAGGACUGUUCAUGAGAAGCUGUGCAUGUCUCCCUCCAGCUUCCCCAGAUGAGACACCAAGAUUGAGAAGUGAAGAGUCAUCUCCAAUUUGGCAGACAUCCUGACCCUCCACACUCACCAUUCUGAUAUUUAGUCAUUUGCAAAUCAGGGUUUCUUUCUUUUUUCAGUGAGACACUGCACCAGCACACACUGCAUUACUCACGCAGGAGGAGCUCUGGGAGGGCGGGAGAAAACCAUGGGUGAGCAGAGUUGAGGAUGUUUGGUGCUUCCCCUGAUGGCUUCAUCAUGUCAUCUUUCUUGGCUCUUCAUGGUCAGUGUUUUCUCCGUGGAAACACCAAGAGAUUCUACCUCUGCUCCGUCAGCAAACAAGGAAGUCAUUGAUUUUCAUGGCCCCUGUGCUAGAGAACUCCAAGAGCCCAACUUCUUCAAGCAGCAGGCCCAUUUUCUGACUCUCACUGUAGCCAGAUCCGAACAUAAAGUCUGGUCUCCUCGGUGAUGGAGGAAGAGAAGUGUCGUCCAUACAAGAUGAAUUUAGUCUCUGAACCCCAGGAGGUCCUGCACAUAGGAAGCGCCCACAACCGAAGUUCCAUGCCCUUUACCACCUCGCCUGCCUCCAGCACUAACGCCAGGGUCAUCACAAACCAGUACAACAACCCAGCUGGCCUCUACUCUUCUGAAAAUAUAUCCAACUUCAACAACGCCCUGGAGUCAGACUGCUACCAGCGGGGUAGAGGCGAACAUGCUCAGCCUCCAAUCAGCCUUGUCAUCGACAAAGAAUCUGAAGUUUUUUUGCAGAAAAUCCUGGA
rnacentral:lncRNA from 1 species